AAAUAAAUACUCAUAUGAUAUAUGACAGUGCCAGACCCUGAUGAGAAGUCAAGGUAGCUAAAAACCCACCCUCAUGUCAUAUAAAAUUACAUAGAUCUGGAUUUGUGUCACAAGGAGUCUCUUUCUAUAUGAAGGUAUAUACAUAUGUGCUGUUUGAAUUGGUCCCUUUUUAUAUUUAUCAAAUAUAUCAAUAGUGUGCAAUUUAACCAAGGAAAUAUAUCAAUGGGUCAUAAUUUUUUCAGUUUAUUUUGCAACAAUCUGCAAUUUCAAUUUCUUAGUCAUAUAAAUUUCUACAUCUGCUGAAAUCUAUUGACACAAGUUUUGUUAUUAAUCAAAUUUUAUUACACUGUCACAAUAAAUAAUCGUUACCCACUAGAGUAAUAGUAAAAAAAAAAGUCACAUAUUGAACCUUUUGCACUUAUUGUGUAACAAAUCGAUCAUAUAGGAAUGGGUUACGAUUUCGCUGUAAACUAUUUGUGUAGGUUGCGAUUUCAAAAUUAUACAAUAUAUGAAUGGGGGUGUUUUUUUAAAUCCAAGCCACACAACUGUACCCCAAAAUCUCAUGUUGUGAUUUGUGUGCUAGCUAUGGAAGCCCAAUAGAUGUUACAAUACUAACACACUCAGUUUAAAUCUGAAGACAAACUGGUGUGUGAUAUACUGAUCCA
rnacentral:lncRNA from 1 species